GGAUCCAUAGGGUAGUGGAUAUCCUCUUGGGCUUCGAACCCAAGGACCCGGGUUCGAAUCCCGGUGGGUCCG
rfam:Candidatus Methanosphaerula palustris E1-9c, complete genome.